GAAAAAAGGGAAUGGACUAUUUGACGUUGUGUGUGGGAACGCUCAAAUAAACUUUGGUGUUCUUGAAGUCGUCCAGGAGGGGAUUAUAUCCAUCUUUAGUUCUCGUCUUUGUUGGGAGACCAAAUUCUUCCAUAAAUGCUGCUGUGUCGAGCGAAAGAGUACGUCUUUUCUUUCCCCGCUUCAAUGGCUCGCCAUCUUUUUGCUGCUUCAUCCACCCAGAGCAGUAAUGAUCCAUCUGUUCCAAGAGCAAGAAAUCUGUUGGAAAGAAUAUGUCGGCGUCCCCCUUUGCGUCCAAAUAACUGUUGUAAUCAAA
rnacentral:misc_RNA from 1 species